UCACUCAUUCUGUGUUAACAGGCGCAGACCGUCCCUCUGUUCUUCCACACUCCGUACGUAUGUGUGCGAAAGCUGCAGCACAACCAAUCAAAUGAACAGGAUGGGAGUGGGGGAACGAGAGGCGAAAGCAGAUAUGCUCCUGUGAGCAAUUUCUUUUGGGUGCAUCAGUCAUGAAAUAUCCAACUAAAAACGGAGUGAAACCUGCAAAACCUGCUAGACCAGCAUCUCAGAUGGAGAUACAACAACUUCCAACUGUUCAGCACUUGAAGUUGCAUGAAGAACAGGGCAAAAAAAGGGAAACACAGGAGGGAGAGAGAGAGGAAAGUGGAAAAGAUCCCCUCAGCUCUUCUCUGCCACCUCCAUCACCGGGAAUUCAACUCGGGCGAGAUUUUCGCCCGCCUUUAAAGCGCUCUUCAACUAACCUUAAAUGACUCUUAAAGUUUCACCAGACCAGGUUUUGCUGGAGGUUUCGUCGUGUUAAAACGGAUUAUUCCUUCUCACCGUGACCGCAAGCUUGCUCAGUACAGAGACUGAAUACUCAGUCUGCAGCAUAAACUGAAGCAAAAUGCAUUCAACUGCACCAAAGAA